CUCAAAAGGUUUUUCCUAGUUCUGGGCAUGAAGAUGAUUUGGAGUGACCUCAUCCAAAGUAUAAUUUUCUUGUCACUUACUGGACUUGGAGUUUUAGGAAACAUCAUAUUAUUUGUAAGACAUUUGUAUACUUUCAUCAUAGGUCCUGAUAAAAAAAAUUUAGAUGUCAUUAUCAUCCACUUGGCUUUUGUAAACACAAUCAUUAUUUAUUGCAUAGGGGUCAGAGACAUAGCGACAAUUUUUUACAUCAGAAACUUCCUAGGUGAUGUUGGUUGUAAAACUAUAAUUUAUCUAGAAAGGGUUGCCCGUGGCCUCUCCAUCUGCACCACCUGUCUCCUCAGCAUGGUCCAGGCUGUCACCGUCAGUCCCAGGACCACACUGUGGAGAAAGCUCAAACCACAGACAGCAUGGCAUGUUAUUGCCUUUCUACUCCUCUUUUGGAUCUUUAAUUCCCUCAUAAGCUCCAAUUUGCUGCACUAUAUCACACCAGGCAGUAGCAUGAACAGGUCUGAAAUUGGGAUGUUUACUGAAUAUUGUUAUAUGCUACCAUCCAAGCCCACAGUUAAGUGGCUGUUCCUCUCUUUCAUGGCUCUUCGUGAUGUCAUUUUCAGAGUCUCAUGGGAUGGAGCAGUGGGUCAUUGGCUCUACAUCUAUACAAACAUCAUGUCCGCGUCCUCUAUCUUCACAGCUCCAGGUCUGCAAAUAAUUCUAGGCCAGAAAUCAGAGCUACCCAGAGGGUUCUCACACUCAUGGCAUGUUUCCUUUUCUUUUAUUGGGCAGAUUUGAUUUUCUCCUUAUAUAUAGGUUCUACAGUGACACAUGAUUCCACAAUACUAAAUAUUAAAGCAUUUUUAGUUCUUAGUUAUGCUGGUCUCAGCCCCUUUGUCUUGAUCAUCAAAGAUGCCCGUGUUUCUAAGCCCUGCUGU
rnacentral:lncRNA from 1 species